UUUAUUUUUUUAGAAAAAAGAAAAAAAAUAUAGAGUCGUGCUGUGCGACUCACAGGAGAAGGGUGAAGAACAGUUUAACCCAUGGUUGCUUAGAAAAGAAGAAGAGCUGAAGAACGUGGAGAAAAAUUCCACGGGUUCAAAACCCACGAAGCUGGCGGUUUCCACAAUUUCAGAACCCAUCACCACCAUGUUACUUAUAUUUUCUUCGUCCACUUUACCGGCACCCUUUUCUGCUUCAAAAAUCGAAAUCGCGAGUAACCACCCAGGAACUCCCAGUGUAAAGACUGGUCAGACCCAAAAACCUUCCUUUCUCAUUCCGCACCACCCCUCAGUAUAGAAAGCUUCGUGUGUUUGCGUCUCAGUUGUUUCAGUGCAUUUUCCAGUACAACCAUGGCUUCUUUCGGCUCUACCCGACGCGAAGAAGAUUCGAUAAACAAAUUUUCUAAAUUCCAUACCCUCUACAAUACAUAUAUGUGUAUAUUUUCUCCGUUUCGUUUCUCAGAAAGGAAUUUUUUUCUUCGAAAAAUUAGGAAUGAAACAUUGAGCUUCAUGUACCGCAUCCUUUUGCUCUUGAAAUUCAUUUUCCUUCAUCUUUUUUGUAUGUCUAAUGUUUAAAUUCCAAAUUUUAGUUGGUUUUUUGAAUUGGGUAAUUGUUGUUGUUGGAGAAUUGGAUUAGAUUUUAUUUCUUUGUACCAUUCUCUCUCUCUCUCAUUUUUGGUUCCUCGUGGAAUUUUUGCUUCAAUUUCUGCUCUUUUUGGUUCAAAGAAGAAAGCAUUUAGGUUUGAUAUGUUUACUAUCUCUAAUUUUUGGAUCCUAAUGGGAUUUCUUUGAUUAUAUAUGCUGUUUCUCCAGAGCACCAAUGAAGAAAGCAUUUAGAUUUGAUGGGUUUGAUGUCAACGAGCACCAAUGAAGAAAGCAUUUAGAUUUGAUGGGUUUGAUGUCAAUGUUGUUUGCCCUUUUGCUGGUGAUUCGGGGCUCUCUAAUCUUGGCUCCAUUUGUCAACGGCUGUGAUGGCAGAGUCAGACACGACAGUAUCUAUAGCGUGAGAAAACUAAACAGAUCAAACCAAAGCGCAUAAAUUGCAAGGAAGGUUCACAUCACAGCAUUGGUUAUUGAAAAGUGAAAAGGAGUAUGGAUACAUGUAAAAAAACAAAUAAAGGAAAUUUGUACUGGAUAAUUUGUCUUUGUGCCAAAAUAAUGAGUUGCUUAGGUGAAAUACAAAUAUGUUUUUAUUAUUUGAUUGUGUCUUCUGAGGGGUGGUGCCAA